GAUGAAGAACGUAGCGAAAUGCGAUAAGUAAUGUGAAUUGCAGAAUUCAGUGAAUCAUCGAAUCUUUGAACGCACAUUGCGCCCCCUGGUAUUCCGGGGGGCAUGCCUGUUCGAGCGUCAUUACAACCCUCAAGCUCUGCUUGGUAUUGGGCCCCGCCAGUUCUGGCGGGCCCUAAAGUCAGUGGCGGUGCCUUCCGGCUCCGAGCGUAGUAAUUCUUCUCGCUCUGGAGACCCGGUUGUGUGCUUGCCAACAACCCCCAAUUUUUUAAGGUUGACCUCGGAUCAGGUAGGGAUACCAGCUGAACUUAAGCAUAUCAAUAAGCGGAGGA
rnacentral:misc_RNA from 1 species